rfam:Deltaproteobacteria bacterium RIFCSPLOWO2_12_FTLL_60_19 rifcsplowo2_12_scaffold_889, whole genome shotgun sequence.
GUAGCGCCCGCUCUGAGGAGCGGGCGAGGAUUGAAAU